rnacentral:tRNA from 1 species
AAAAAUUUAGUUAAACUAUAACAUUAGUCCGUCAAACUAAAAUUACUUUCAAGUAAUUUUUU